GAUGAACGCUGGCGGCGUGCCUAAUACAUGCAAGUCGAGCGAACGGACGAGAAGCUUGCUUCUCUGAUGUUAGCGGCGGACGGGUGAGUAACACGUGGAUAACCUACCUAUAAUACUGGGAUAACUUCGGGAAACCGGAGCUAAUACCGGAUAAUAUUUUGAACCGCAUGGUUCAAAAGUGAAAGACGGUCUUUCUGUCACUUAUAGAUGUAUCCUCGCUGCAUUAGCUAGUUGGUAAGGUAACGGCUUACCAAGGCAACGAUGCAUAGCCGACCUGAGAGGGGGAUCGGACACACUGGAACUGAGACACGGUCCAGAGUCCUACGGGAGGCAGCAGUAGGGAAUAUUCCGCAAUGGGCGAAAGCCUGACGGAGCAACGCCGCGUGAGUGAUGAAGGUCUUCGGAUCGUAAAACUCUGUUAUUAGGGAAGAACAUAUGUGUAAGUAACUGUGCACAUAUUGACGGUACCUAAUCAGAAAGCCACGGCUAACUACGUG
rnacentral:rRNA from 1 species